rnacentral:rRNA from 1 species
CAAGCGGUGGAGCACGUGGUUUAAUUCGAUGAUAAGCGAAGAACCUUACCUGGGCUUGACAUACUAGCAGUAGGAGCCAGAGAUGGUAACGACCCCUACCUUUGGUAGGGGAACUAGUACAGGUGAUGCAUGGCUGUCGUCAGCUCGUGUCGUGGGACGUUGGGUUAAGUCCCGAAACGAGCGCAACCCCUGUUGUUAGUUGCCAGCGGGUAAUGCCGGGGACUCUAACAAGACUGCUGGUGAAUAGCCGGAGGAAGGAGGGGAUGACGUCAAGUCAUCAUGUCCCUUAUGUCCAGGGCGACACACAUGCUACAAUGGGAGGUACAAAGGGCUGCUAAACCGUAAGGUCAUGCGAAUCCCAGAAAGCCUUCCUUAGUUCGGAUUGAGGUCUGCAACCCGACCUCAUGAAGCCGGAAUCGCUAGUAAUCGCAGGUCAGCCACACUGCGGUGAAUAUGUACUCAGGGCUUGUACACACCGCCCGUCACACCAAUCGAGUAGAGGGGACCUGAAGUCGUCUUAUGGGCGCCGAAGGUAACUUCUGUAAGAGGGGUG